rnacentral:rRNA from 1 species
GUGGGGAAUCUUGCGCAAUGGGCGAAAGCCUGACGCAGCCAUGCCGCGUGAAUGAUGAAGGUCUUAGGAUUGUAAAAUUCUUUCACCGGGGACGAUAAUGACGGUACCCGGAGAAGAAGCCCCGGCUAACUUCGUGCCAGCAGCCGCGGUAAUACGAAGGGGGCUAGCGUAGCUCGGAAUUACUGGGCGUAAAGGGCGCGUAGGCGGAUCGUUAAGUCAGGGGUGAAAUCCCAGAGCUCAACUCUGGAACUGCCCUUGAUACUGGCGAUCUUGAGUGUGAGAGAGGUAUGUGGAACUCCGAGUGUAGAGGUGAAAUUCGUAGAUAUUCGGAAGAACACCAGUGGCGAAGGCGACAUACUGGCUCAUUACUGACGCUGAGGCGCGAAAGCGUGGGGAGCAAACAGGAUUAGAUACCCUUGUAGUCC